rnacentral:rRNA from 1 species
UACGGGGGGCGCAAGCGUUGUUCGGAUUUACUGGGCGUAAAGGGCGCGUAGGCGGCCAGCACAAGUCAGUUUUGAAAUCUCCGGGCUUAACUCGGAAAGGUCAACUGAUACUGUGCGGCUAGAGUGCAGAAGGGGAAACUGGAAUUCUCGGUGUAGCGGUGAAAUGCGCAGAUAUCAGGAGGAACACCGGUGGCGAAGGCGGGUCUCUGGGCAACAACUGACGCUGAGGAGCGAAAGCGUGGGGAGCGAACAGG